AACUUGCUCCCAUCAAAACACGUCAAGGAAUCACACCCACCCAAAACACACGCGAGAGUGUACAAGGAAUCUCAUUACCAAAACCAUAACAUAUGCCCAUCCAUAACUCAAAAGCAUAUAUAUGGAUAUAAGUAAGGUGGACUAGCUAGGGGUCUGUAGCUAGUCCACAAGUAGGUAACAAGAAAAAUAGAAUAAACAAUUAUCAAGGUAUGGCUAGAAACAUAUGCUAUGCAAUCAAUCAUCAUCCAA
rnacentral:lncRNA from 1 species